UACGGGAGGCAGCAGUGGGGAAUAUUGGGCAAUGGGGGAAACCCUGACCCAGCAACGCCGCGUGAGGGAAGAAGGUUUUCGGAUCGUAAACCUCUGCCCUUGGUGAAGAGUAAGAGACGGUAGCCAAGGAGGAAGCCCCGGCUAACUACGUGCCAGCAGCCGCGGUAAU
rnacentral:rRNA from 1 species